AGCGUUCUGUAAGCCGUUGAAGGUGGCCUGUGAGGGUUGCUGGAGGUAUCAGAAGUGCGAAUGCUGACAUAAGUAACGAUAAAGCGGGUGAAAAGCCCGCUCGCCGGAAGACCAAGGGUUCCUGUCCAACGUUAAUCGGGGCAGGGUGAGUCGACCCCUAAGGCGAGGCUGAAAAGCGUAGUCGAUGGGAAACAGGUUAAUAUUCCUGUACUUGGUGUUACUGCGAAGGGGGGACGGAGAAGGCUAGGCUAGCCGGGCGACGGUUGUCCCGGUUUAAGCGUGUAGGGGGUGUGACCUGGUAAAUCCGGUUGCAUAUCAACCCUGAGGCGUGAUGACGAUGCACUACGGUGCAGAAGUAGUUGAUGCCCUGCUUCCAGGAAAAGCCUCUAAGCUCUAGGUAACAUUAAAUCGUACCCCAAACCGACACAGGUGGUCAGGUAGAGAAUACCAAGGCGCUUGAGAGAACUCGGGUGAAGGAACUAGGCAAAAUGGUGCCGUAACUUCGGGAGAAGGCACGCUGGCAUGUAGGUGAAGUCCUU
rnacentral:rRNA from 1 species